AUACAUACUAAAGCACAAUUAGAUUUACCCUAAUCCGCGAAAAUUGAUACUUCAAAACACACCAAAAUCUGAAAAAAUGAAGAGAAUCUAACAAUGGAGUCUCUAGUGAAAACACGAAAACAUCGACGACUGUGAACGCAUCAAGGAAUGAGGUAACAGUGAUUAAGAAAUAAGACGCUUUUGAAGCCGGCGGAAGAUAGGACAGAAGAGUAGAGUAACAAACGACCCUAAACACCAAGAGCAGGCUAAGUGGUAGACAACAAUAAAGACAUGACCUUUUGAAUGAAGAGAAGAAACCAAGGAAUGAAGUUUGAUGAGCUUAAAAGAAAUUAUCCAACAAAAGGGAGACAUCAGUGAAAGAAAAGAGGGGCCAAGAAGAUCUUUGACCAAAAUGAAAUAAUGCAACAAAAGGGGAGAUAUCAGUGAAAGAAAAGGGAGGCCAAGAAGAUCUUUCACCAAAAUGGAAUGCAAAAGUGAUUCAUUAUAACCCUAAAAAGGAACCGCUAGCCACCCUCUCCAAAAGAAAAAGAGAGAGACAAAAAUGUUAACAUAGGCUGGUACCUACACAGACACUGCAAAAGUUCUGAGAAAUGAUUCUUC